UACGUAGGGACCAAGCGUUGUUCGGAUUUACUGGGCGCAAAGGGCGCGUAGGCGGCGCGGUAAGUCACUUGUGAAAUCUCUGAGCUUAACUCGGAACGGCCAAGUGAUACUGCAGUGCUAGAGUGUGGAAGGGGCAAUCGGAAUUCUUGGUGUAGCGGUGAAAUGCGUAGAUAUCAAGAGGAACACCUGAGGUGAAGACGGGUUGCUGGGCCAACACUGACGCUGAUGCGCGAAAGCCAGGGGAGCAAACGGG
rnacentral:rRNA from 1 species